GUGCCAGCAGCCGCGGUAAGACAGAGGUCUCAAGCGUUAGGCGGAAUCACUGGGCUUAAAGCGUGUGUAGGCGGAUCGUUAAGUGCCUUGUGAAAUCCCACAGCUCAACUGUGGAACUGCUUGGCAUACUGGCGGUCUUGAGCCAUCUAGGGGUCGCUGGAACAAACGGUGGAGCGGUGAAAUGCGUAGAUAUCGUUUGGAACGCCAAUGGUGAAAACAGGCGACUGGGGAUGUGCUGACGCUGAGACACGAAAGCCAGGGGAGCAAACGGGAUUAGAUACCCCGGUAGUCC
rnacentral:rRNA from 1 species